rnacentral:rRNA from 1 species
GCCCUUAGAGUUUGAUCAUGGCUCAGAAUGAACGCUGGCGGCAUGGAUUAGGCAUGCAAGUCGAACGGUAUCCGGCCUUCGGGCCGGAGAGAGUGGCGAAAGGGUGAGUAACACGUGAGCAACCUGCCCCUGAAUCGGGAAUAGCCCCGGGAAACCGGGAUUAAUACCUGACGGCGCCUGCGGACCGCAUGGUCCGCCGGCCAAAGAUUUUAUUGUUCAGGGAUGGGCUCGCGUCCCAUUAGCUGGUUGGCGGGGUAACGGCCCGCCAAGGCGAAGACGGGUAGCCGGUCUGAGAGGAUGGUCGGCCACACUGGGACUGAGACACUGCCCAGACUCCUGCGGGAGGCUGCAGUCGAGAAUCAUCCGCAAUGGGCGCAAGCCUGACGGUGCAAUGCCGCGUGAGGGAUGAAGGCCUUCGGGUUGUAAACCUCUGUCACCGGGGACGAAUAUUGACGGUACCCGGAGAGGAAGCCACGGCUAACUACGUGCCAGCAGCCGCGGUAAUACGUAGGUGGCGAGCGUUAUUCGGAUUUACUGGGCGUAAAGGGUCCGCAGGGGGUCCGGCCAGUCCGGUGUGAAAGCCCGCGGCUCAGCCGCGGAACUGCACUGGAAACUGCCGGGCUGGAGUGCGCGAGAGGAAAGCGGAAUUCCAGGUGUAGCGGUGGAAUGCGUAGAUAUCUGGAAGAACACCGGCGGCGAAAGCGGCUUUCUGGCGCGCUACUGACCCUGAGGGACGAAAGCGUGGGUAUCGAACAGGAUUAGAUACCCUGGUAGUCCACGCUGUAAACGUUGUGCGCUCGAUGCCGGGAAAAGCCGUUCCGGCUUUUUCCGUGUCCAAGCCAACGCGUUAAGCGCACCGCCUGGGGACUACGGUCGCAAGGCUAAAACUCAAAGGAAUUGACGGGGGCCCGCACAA